rnacentral:rRNA from 1 species
UUGAACGCUGGCGGUAUGCUUAACACAUGCAAGUCGAACGGAAACGAUGGUAGCUUGCUACCAGGCGUCAAGUGGCGGACGGGUGAGUAACGCGUAGGAAUCUGCCCAGUAGUGGGGGACAACCAGGGGAAACCCUGGCUAAUACCGCAUACACUCUACGGAGAAAAGGAGGCCUCUUCUUGAAAGCUUUCGCUAUUGGAUGAGCCUGCGUGAGAUUAGCUAGUUGGUGAGGUAAAGGCUCACCAAGGCGACGAUCUCUAGCUGGUCUGAGAGGACGAUCAGCCACACUGGGACUGAGACACGGCCCAGACUCCUACGGGAGGCAGCAGUGGGGAAUAUUGGACAAUGGGCGCAAGCCUGAUCCAGCAAUACCGCGUGUGUGAAGAAGGCCCUAGGGUUGUAAAGCACUUUCAGCAGUGAGGAAAAAACUUAAGAUUAAUAACCUUAGGUCUUGACGUUAACUGCAGAAGAAGCACCGGCUAACUCCGUGCCAGCAGCCGCGGUAAUACGGGGGGUGCAAGCGUUAAUCGGAAUUACUGGGCGUAAAGCGCGCGUAGGUGGUUUGGUCAGUCGGAUGUGAAAGCCCUGGGCUCAACCUGGGAACUGCAUUCGAUACUGCCUGACUAGAGUGUGGUAGAGGGAAGUGGAAUUCCGGGUGUAGCGGUGAAAUGCGUAGAUAUCCGGAGGAACACCAGUGGCGAAGGCGGCUUCCUGGACCAACACUGACACUGAGGUGCGAAAGCGUGGGGAGCGAACAGGAUUAGAUACCCUGGUAGUCCACGCCGUAAACGAUGAGAACUAGAUGUUGGGGGGCAUGUCCCGCUUAGUGGUGCAGCUAACGCAAUAAGUUGACCGCCUGGGGAGUACGGCCGCAAGGCUAAAACUCAAAUGAAUUGACGGGGGCCCGCACAAGCGGUGGAGCAUGUGGUUUAAUUCGAUCCAACGCGAAGAACCUUACCUACCCUUGACAUACAGAGAACUUUCCAGAGAUGGAUUGGUGCCUUCGGGAACUCUGAUACAGGUGCUGCAUGGCUGUCGUCAGCUCGUGUCGUGAGAUGUUGGGUUAAGUCCCGUAACGAGCGCAACCCUUAUCCUUGUUUGCCAGCACAUCAUGGUGGGAACUAUAAGGAGACUGCCGGUGAUAAACCGGAGGAAGGCGGGGACGACGUCAAGUCAUCAUGGCCCUUACGACCAGGGCUACACACGUGUUACAAUGGGAAGGACAAAGGGUUGCUAAACCGCAAGGUGGUGCUAAUCUCACAAAUCUUUUCGUAGUCCGGAUCGGAGUCUGCAACUCGACUCCGUGAAGUCGGAAUCGCUAGUAAUCGUAGAUCAGAACGCUACGGUGAAUACGUUCCCGGGUCUUGUACACACCGC